GAUGAACGCUGGCGGCGUGCCUAAUACAUGCAAGUCGAGCGAAUGGAUUAAGAGCUUGCUCUUAUGAAGUUAGCGGCGGACGGGUGAGUAACACGAUGGUAACCUGCCCAUAAGACUGGGAUAACUGCGGGAAACCGGGGAUAAUACCGGAGAACAUUUUGAACCGCAUGGUUCGAAAUUGAAAGGCGGCUUCGGCUGUAAAUUAUGGAACAACCCGAGUCACAUUAGCUAGUUGGUGAGGUAACGGCUAACAAAGGCAACGAUGCGUAGCCGACCUGAGAGGGUAAUCAGCCACACUGGGACUGAGACACGGCCCAGACUCCUACGGGAGGCAGCAAUAGGGAAUCUUCCGCAAUGGACGAAAGUCUGACGGAGCAACGCCGCGUGAGUGAUGAAGGCUUUCGGGUCGUAAAACUCUGUUGUUAGGGAAGAACAAGUGCUAGUUGAAUAAGCUGGCACCUUGACGGUGCCUAACCACAAAGCCACGGCUAACUACGUGCCAUCCGCCGCCGUAA
rnacentral:rRNA from 1 species